UAUACGACUCUCGGCAACGGAUAUCUCGGCUCUCGCAUCGAUGAAGAACGUAGCGAAAUGUGAUACUUGGUGUGAAUUGCAGAAUCCCGUGAACCAUCGAGUCUGUGAACGCAAGUUGCGCCCGAGGCCUUUCGGUUGAGGGCACGCCUGCCUGGGCGUCACGC
rnacentral:rRNA from 1 species